rnacentral:rRNA from 1 species
CUAACUCCGUGCCAGCAGCCGCGGUAAUACGGAGGGUGCAAACGUUGCUCGGAAUUAUUGGGCGUAAAGCGCACGUAGGCGGUCCGCUAAGUCGGAUGUGAAAGCCCUCGGCUUAACCGAGGAAGUGCAUCCGAAACUGACGGGCUAGAGUACGGAAGAGGGUUUCGGAAUUCCCGGUGUAGAGGUGAAAUUCGUAGAUAUCGGGAGGAACACCAGUGGCGAAGGCGGAAACCUGGGCCGAUACUGACGCUGAGGUGCGAAAGCGUGGUGAGCAAACAGGAUUAGAUACCCUGGUAGUCCACGCCGUAAACGAUGAGCGCUAGGUGUUGGGGGUAUUGACCCCCCAGUACCGCAGCUAACGCGUUAAGCGCUCCGCCUGGGGAGUACGGCCGCAAGGCUAAAACUCAAAGGAAUUGACGGGGGC